AUCUAGCUAAGAAGUCCCAAAUAGGACGAAACGUGCGUCCUGAAU
rnacentral:hammerhead_ribozyme from 1 species